GAGGAUAUAGCUCAGUGGUAGAGUCCGUGUCUAGCAUCCAUGAGGUCCUGGGUUCAAUCCCCAGGACCUCCA
rnacentral:tRNA from 1 species